rnacentral:rRNA from 1 species
GACAGAGGGUGCAAACGUUGUUCGGAAUUACUGGGCGUAAAGCGUGUGUAGGCGGUCUCAUAAGUCGGAUGUGAAAGCCCUGGGCUCAACCCAGGAAGUGCACUCGAUACUGCGAGGCUAGAGUAUCGGAGAGGUUGGUGGAAUUCUCGGUGUAGAGGUGAAAUUCGUAGAUAUCGAGAGGAACACCGGUGGCGAAGGCGGCCAACUGGACGAAUACUGACGCUGAGACACGAAAGCGUGGGGAGCAAACAGG